CAGCGAGAGCCCCAGACUUCCAAUGGUUUCUUUCUUGCUUAUCAGAAGAACUGGGGUGUUGCUGUGCCGUACGGUUGCUUAGGGAUCUACCAGGAAAUCAGCCCACGUUUUCUGUAAAGCCAGCCAAGUUGCCUGAGUUUGUCAGCACCCCAAACUGUCCCCACUGUCCCCUGAUGAUCCUGGGCAUGAAGUGACAAGACUUGGAGGAGCAGAGGACGGACGUCAGCGGUGGUGCAAAGUGGGCCCGGGGGCCUUCUCAGCGAGGUCACCAGGGGCUGCAAAGGCGCCAAGGGCCUUUCCAGUUCCGCAUGUAGCAACGUGUCCUCGCCGUUGCCCCAGCUAUUCCCCCUCCGGGAGUGACUGUGAAGGAGCUCCAAGCUGUGUGUGUUGGAUGGGUCUCCUUGGCCAAGCUGAUGUUGCAGCCACGGUGGUGAGAUUACCUGGUGAUCACAAAGAGUAAACAAAUCAUGCUUAGCACUCUACUGAGUGUGCCUGCGAUGCGGCUGUCAGAAGGGUUCUAGACAGAGCGCUGGCUGGCAGCUGCGGGUUGGCAGGGUGGGCGGGUGCUGAUGUGGACGCCUGCCCCCAGUGUUGGCAUCACUGUGGAUGGAAUGAGACAUUCACACGGACGACCGAGUCCGGUGGAGGAAGAGGGACAGCAUAGCAUUUCUCUCAAGGGGAGCGAAAGCCUCAGCCCUUGCCGUGACCGGCAUUCAUUGGGUUUCUGCUCACAUUACUUGAUGGUCCUCAUUUACUAUGCACAGGUUGCUUUAGAUGGUUACCUUUUACAGAAAACAAAGGAGCCAGUACUGCUAAUCACAUCACAGAAGAGGGAUAUUUGCAAAUGAAAAGGCAAAAGUGGUUGAACCAGUUAUCACCCUCCUCCUUGGAAGGUUUAGCAUGGAGUUUAGGAAGUUACUUUGCAGUAAAUGUUUGCCACAAAUCCAGGUGAGGGAGCUUUUUGCAAAAAGCAGCCCAGGCACAUUUCGGGCCUGAUGCCCCACAGGAGAACCUAUCCGUGGGUGUGGGUCCUGUGCAUCUCCUAGUGGGAGCUGGGUCCACGCCACGCAGAGCGGUCUCCGUUCUGGGUGUGAAGGGAUUGAGCAAAAGGAGAAGACA